rnacentral:rRNA from 1 species
GACGACGCUGGCGGCGUGCCUAAUACAUGCAAGUAGGACGAGUUGCGAACGGGUGAGUAAUGUCUGGGAAACUGCCUGAUGGAGGGGGAUAACUACUGGAAACGGUAGCUAAUACCGCAUACCAUCGGAUGUGCCCAGAUGGGAUUAGCUAGUAGGUGGGGUAAAGGCUAACCUAGGCGACGAUCCCUAGCUGGGUGGAGAGGAUGACCAGCCACAGUGGACCUGAGGCCAGGUCCAGACGCCUACGGGAGGCAGCAGUGGGGUAUAUUGCACAAUGGGCGCAAGCCUGAUGCAGCCAUGCCGCGUGUAUGAAGAAGGCCUUAGGGUUGUAAAGUACUUUCAGCGGGCAGGCGUUACCCGCAGAAGAAGCACCGGCUAACUCCGUGCCAGCGGCCGCGGUAAUAC